CCUCCAAGGUGGCCUGGCGGGCGCAGUGGGAGCACGUUUGUACUCCUCGGGAGCGAACACAUGGGAUUCCCUCCUCGUUCAGAUGUCACUGACUCAUGAGGAGCCCUGAGGAAGGGGCCCGGCCUUCUAAAGUGGCACCUUGCCUGCUCCAUUAUGUGCCUCACAGUCCCCGCCUUGCAGAUGUUGGAUUCCACACCGCAGAGGCCCAAUGGAUGGAGAGGCCGGUUUCCAUGGAGACGGUCGCAGCGUUGCUGGUAUUCCCUACAGAAGGGGAGAGACUGCCCCGGUGCUCAGCAUGUGCGCGCACACACACGCACUCUCUCUCCUCGCUGCACGAACUGGCUGUACAUAGCAAGACAUGGCUGCUUUACAGACCUGCCUUGUCCACGGCAGAGCGGAUGGGGUCCGAUGAUAUCCCCAGAGCGCCCACCUUCCAUGAUCUCCCCGGAGGAUGCUCCAAAACCCCAUUCUGGAGACUCAACCCCAUUACCUGCCACCGGUGGCUCAUGGGACUGGCAAAGGCAAAAUCUGGCAGUCCCAUCACAUGGUGUCCCCAACAGCCCCUCCCCAGCUGUCACAUCCAUUUGCUCUUGACAGAGUGAGCGUUAAGUCUCUUGGCUCAUUUCCUGUCUCGCCUUUCCAGAAUCACCUUUCAGCCUUCCCCAAGUGAGCGCUGCUGUAUUAGCCACAGAAUUGCAAUGAAUUCAUUGCUUCCUGACAGAUCUGAGGCUAGAAGAGGCUCUGUUAAGCCAGAAGAGGCUCUGUUAAGCCCCCAAAGAUCAUUUCAGUUCUAGAGCUGCGUACUUAUCAGUGUCAAAGCACAUUCCACUGCCUCACCCCCAAAAAAAGAUUAAUUAGGACAAACUGUUGCAAAUGUGUAAGAACUAGACAAACUUCCCAGUACAAAAAUUGUUGAAAGAUACAAACAGGUUAUGCACAAAAGAAGAAACACAAGUGGUCCUUGAUCAACAGACCUGUGGAAAGAAGGUCAAUAUCAAAGGUAGUAAAAGAAAUGCAAAUGAAAUCAC